UUGGUCGAAGGUACGGAAGACGGCGGGAGAUACAAAAACGUUAUGGAGGAGAGAAACAAAAACAGAGCGUGAGACGCUGGGAAAAUGAAUGAAAAUGUUUUUUGGACGAGGACUUCAUCUCCGCUGCCUGCUGGUUUCAUCUGUAGGACCCCACACUGUUCAUCCAGGAAUGACACUCCACGUCGAGCCUUGGAGAGCCCUGCUCCACGACAAACCACCACGCUGGCAUCAGAUGUCAGCUUCGUUGAGGUGGUGGAAGAGGAGGAGCUGGAGCUGUAAGCACCGCCCACUUUGGAGGUCUUGGUGACAGUUUCGACCAACACAGAGGAGGUCUCAUGGAGGCUGUGUCCCCCUGAGAGCCGGGCUCCUGUAGCAGAAACAGAGAGACGUUAUCUAAUGUCAUCAAGACUCAGUCUGUGAUACUAGAGAACAAAAUGAAAAAUAUUUCAUACCACUUUCCAAUAAAGUGAAUUUCCUAGACUCAUGGGAGUUUUUCUUACUCUUGAAAGUAUUUUAUGUCGCAUUAAUAA